rnacentral:rRNA from 1 species
GACGAACCGAGCGAACGUUGUUCGGAAUAACUGGGCUUAAAGGGCGCGUAGGCGGGCCGCCAAGUCCGAGGUGAAAUCCUCCGGCUCAACCGGAGAACUGCCUCGGAUACUGGAGGUCUCGAGGGUGGUAGGGGCAUGCGGAACUGUGGGUGGAGCGGUGAAAUGCGUUGAUAUCCACAGGAACUCCGGUGGCGAAGGCGGCAUGCUGGACCACAUCUGACGCUGAGGCGCGAAAGCCAGGGGAGCAAACGGG